CUUGGAGUUGUGAGCUCAAGCCCAACAUUAGGUAUAGAAAUUGUUUAAAAAUAAAAUCUUUAAAAAAAAAAUGUAAGAAGCACCUAGAAAAAUUUGGAAGAUGGGAUAUUCAGCAAGACAGCUGCCCCCAUCUUCUUAACACAUUGGUGUCAUGAGAAAAGGGAUUACUUUAGAUUAAAAGAGACUUAAGAUACAUAAUCAGAAUCAAUUCUUGUUUCUAGAUUGGACCCUGGUUUAGACAGACAAGUGGCAAAGGAUCUUUUUGAAGAGACAACUGGGAAGAUUUGAAUUCAGACUAUUAGAUGAGAUGAAAAUGUAUUAUCUUGGAAGACUUUCUAUGGGCAAGAUAUUUUACAAGUUCUUAGUGCUGGCGUAUAUCUGAAUUUUUGGAUGUAUUCCUCCUGAGACUAAUAUGCCUGCUGUAUUCAAAACACCUUCAGCAUCAGUGUUGGGAAGACCAACCAAAAUCUUAAUAACAAAGUACCGCCCAGCCUGGGUCUAAAAUCAGACUGAGAAGGAGAAUUAUAUGACAAUGGGGAACCACAUCCAUACCUUCAGCCCAGCCCUGUCCUUCAAACUCUGAAGAUUAUUCAGAGUCAACCCCAGGACACUAGUGAGUGUGGGAAGCUCUUGGAGGGGUGAGGAGUGGGAGGAUACCAGGGACCUGAAAGAUCUUAUGAAGUUUCCUGCCAAGCUGGCCUAGGAUUAACCCAUCAUUUCCCAGCCAGAGUUAUCCCAGCUGUCUUGCUUUCCUGGGGCCUCUCAUGUUAAUCUAUGGAAUUGACCAACUGAGUUUGACCGUGACUGGCUUUGUUUUGCAAAACAAAAUUGGUAAGGCAGGCCUCAUGCUGACUGACUGAAUGGUGUCAUCAACCCAAUUCAAGGGGUGCCACAAAAGCAAGGAAAUGAAACUUCAAUUUCCUCCUCAUGUUAAAUGAUAGCUUAUCAUACUGAUUAUGACCCUUAUGCAGCUCAGGGCAAAGUAUUUUAUUGCUUUUGUUGUGAACAGCAAUAAACUACUCUCAUCUUCCACAUUUUCCUCCAACUCCUACCCCCACCCCACACCUGAUUAAGGCUCAUCCAAAAGGACUGUUCUUUUUUGUCAAUGGUCUGAAAACCAAAGCCUUCUUUUUUUUAUACCCCCCCCCCCCAACCUGUCAGGAUUUUACCUUUAUUCUAGUAGGCCCAAGAUUUGCUUUAAAACAGAAACAAACAACCAAAGAGAGGUGGGGAAAAAGCCCUUCUAAUAUCCAGCUCCUCUCACUUGAAUGAGCUUUGCUUAGGUUCUGGAUCAGGCAGACAUUUGUUGUCUUCCUUGUGUUCACACUGCCCCUGUAUAUAUACUUCCACUGGAAUACUUCUAUAUAACACAUUUUUAUGGGCACAAUUGUGCUUUCCUUCUGGAUUGGAAAGGGCUAUGUCUCUUCAUCUUUGUGCCCCUGACCCAUAGAAGGCAUUCACUGAAUGAACAGAUUGAUAGAUGCCAACCCACAAAGUUCAGCUCAUCUAUUUCCCUACCUGCCAACAAGUCUGUACCUGUCUGUUCCCAGAUUGCAAAAGAGGUCCAGUUGCUUAGCUUCCUCAUUAGGCACUUGUGGACAUCAGUGGGAGAAGUGUGGUGUUUCUUUGGACUUGAACCUGUACUGUCUUCCCUUCACCUCCUCCUUUUCGUAGAAGUCUCAUUUAUUCCCAUGGCUUCAAAACUGUAUGUGUAUGACUCCUAAAUUUACAUCUCCAUCUCAAAUAUCUUCUCUAAUUUAGUCAGCUUUCCCAGAUUUAAUAACCAAUUGCCUGCCUGAUAUCUCCACUUGAAUGUCUCAGAAUAUUUUCAAAGUUUGCAUGCUUAAAAUGGAGCUCUUUGCAAUUCAUUUUUAUUUUUUUAUGUAUGCCCUAUGUCCAACGUGGGGCUUGAACUAAUGACUCUAGGAUCAAGAGUCCUGUGCUGU